GCGAGGAUGGUGGAAUUGGUAGACACGCCAGACUUAGGAUCUGGUGCCGCAAGGCGUGGGGGUUCAAGUCCCCCUCCUCGCACCA
rnacentral:tRNA from 5 species